rnacentral:siRNA from 1 species
CGCCAUCCACAAGCUUGCGGU